GUGAGGUGGGUGAGCGGGGUUGCUGCAGAAGGUGAGUGAGUUCCUAUCUGGUAACUUGCUGUUCCCUCUGAAUCAGGAGGCAAGGCCAUCUGCUGGGAGUCAGGGAAGAGAGAAAAUGAACAUGAGAGAUGAGGAGAGAACAAAGAAUGCUGAUACCACUGAGUGAUGAGUGGGGAAAUGUGCUCAUUGGAGAAACCCUGGAGGAUUGCCUGGCAGUGGCAGCAUGAUGGACAUUAAUUUGUAGGCUUUGAAAUCUGUGCUGAGAGCGCUGUUGCUGCCAACUUUCAGCUGCUGCCUGCGGGCCCAGAACAAGCAGAGCUGGGUGAACUGUGAUGAAACUUUGCCUGGUAGGGAACUGAAAAGACGGAAGGUCAAGGGAGUUUGGUUUGUUAUGAAAAGAGUGUUGACAUGAGGGACUGUGGACAGAGUUGGAACACGGGGAAGUGAAGGUGAGAGGAAUGUGGACAGGGAAGAAAGCAGAGGGGUCAGCGACUGAUGGCCCUGGUGACACUGAAGGAGGGCCAGUGGAGGCCCGUGGACAAGCAGCUGGAUGGCUAGAGAUGAAGAAAUGGAGGCACAGAGGUGACGCAACUUGCCCAGAUUCAUGUUGCUCCUAAAUGCUGGCCUGUGUUGGGUGUGUCAAGUGACGAGAUGCAGAGCCUGUGGUCUCAAUGAAAAAAAGAGAAGACAACAUGUCCCAGCCCCAAAGAUUGUGUCAUCCUGAAAGGGUAAAACCGGCGUUCUUGCUCUUCCACGGCAAGAAGGAAACCCGUGAACCUGCGCUCCUGUUUCUGUGUCACUGUGGGCCCCGUCGGGUCAUUGUGGUGACUGGAGGGGGUGGGCAUUGGGUGCAGGCAGGCCCCCCGGGCUGGACAAAGUCCAGCCUUCUGGGAGUGUUGUGGUCACCUGCCUUCUCUAACCUCUCAGCCGAAGCUCAUACCCUGGACACAGGGGAUGCAGAGGCGUGGGAAGCAGAAGGAAUGUCCAUCCUGUUGGAUGCGGAUGAGUGUUUCUAUCCCCUGAAGGCCCACCUUGACCUCUAAACUUUGAGUGGAGGGUGGAAAUUCAGGAAGUGUGAUGGGGAUUCCAGGAAGGACACAUUCUCAAAUAUCUCCUCUAUGGUCUUUCACUGAAUUUGAAGUUCUGUCUCUGUUUUUACUGAUGUCAUUAAUUUAUCUGUCAAAAGAAUCUUUGAUUUUUAAGAGCCUCUUUUACAAUGCAAACUCACCUGUAAGGGGUGAUAUUAAAAUAUUCCUAUCAGCGAGCUGAAUGAGCUGACUUUAUGGGGCAGGGGGCUGGGUGGAGUCAGGCUGUCCAGCCCUGAUAGAGGGGCAGCCUUAUGACCUAGCAAUAAGUCUGCUAGGCCAGGGAUAGUAUAUCUGUUUUCUGUGCUGUUAUAUAUUGAACAUACCCUGCAGAGGGGUGUUCAAAUUGUAACCCUAGCUACCUUGGAAUAUUUGGAAAUAGGUUCAUUGCAGAUGAAGCUAUACUCCAUAUUGGAGUUGGGUGGUCCUUUAAUCAAAUAGGAUUGGUGUCCUUUUAAAAAGAAGAUGUGAAGAUAAAAAGGGGAGAAUGCCAUAUGAGGACAUGAAGACCCCCAGACACAGAGAGAAGAUAGCCAUGUGAAGGCAGAGGCAGAGAUUGGAGUCAAGCUGAGAAACUGCUGGGGCUACCAGCAGAAGCUGGAAGGGGUAAGGAAGGAUUCUCCCUAAAGCCUUUGGGGGGAAUGUGGUCACGACCACACUUUCAUUAUUGUACUUCUAGCCUCUAGAAAUAUGAGAGAAUAAAUGCAUGUUGUUUAAUGUUACCUGGUUCUUGGAACUUAGUUACAGUAGCCCUGAGAAACUAAUACACACACCUGCUUCAGUAUCCGACUCACCAAGUGACCUAACAAAUGUUGGCUCCUCUCAGAGAUUCUGCAAAAUCAGGUAGUUGGACUAGAUAAACUAGGAUCCCUCCAGCUCAAUAGUGUUUAGGGGUUGUUCUGAGGUUAGGAAGACGGUUCAUUUGUUCAGCUAAUUAUCUUUGAGUAUAUUCUGUGCCAAGCAUGGGGUAGCAAGCAGGUCAUUGCUCUCAGGGAGGUAUGUCCUUGUCUCUCAAAGGAAGGAUGAGACUGUUAGAAAGGACUGGACAUGGGCUAAAACCAGGAGCCUGGACCCCUUGAAGUCCCCAGAGCAGGUCCCCAGGAGCUGGGAGGCCACAUUUAGACUUCUGAGCAGGAAAUGCAAAGGGAUAGGGAAAUUCAAGAUUUCCUGAGAGGUCAAAAAGGAAAUAAACUUCAUUACUUCCAAGUAGAUUUUUAAAAACUAUGCAAAC